ensembl:lncRNA
UGGCUCCCUCUGCAGACUCUCUGUGAGACUUACAGGAUGCUAAAAUGGGUUUGACUCUCUGCUGGUAGAUAACCAUAUGUGGGUCAAAAAGCUAAAUUUUCAAAAUGAAGGAAAAUGAAUUUUCAAAAAUUUAAUUAAAAAAAAAAUAAUUUUUAAACAUUUUUAAUUUAUUGCUGCCUUCCGAUAUUUCGAAAAUAUCAGUUCAAGAAUAUAAUCUCAGGUUCUCUAAAUUAUUUAUGUCAUUAUGGUGUAAUCUGUAUUGGAUUUGCACAUUAAAUAUUUUAAUUGGAUGUAAUCAGCAAGCAAUUAUUUUCUAUGUGCAUUCGGUAGGUAGUGAAUGCUUCAGUCAAGGUACCUAACCUACAUGUGAUGCAUUUACUCAUAUGACGUUUUUAUUUUCUGAAGAAAAUUGUCGUAAUGUAAAACACAGUAAAUAAUGUGCUAUUUAACAAAAUGUUCUGCAAUAGUUAUCAGUAUUAACUAUGUCUGUGUAAUGUGGUUCAUUUAUGGACACUGAAUGAAGCACUUGACAAAAUAUCAGUAACAUCUGAAUGAAUAUCUCCAGUGUUAGAGUCAAUCUAACCUGACAAACACAGUUCAUG